rnacentral:lncRNA from 1 species
GGGAAUAUAGGACCUCGAGAACACAGCUCAGCCUAUGAAGAGAACAAAGCAGAGAAUGUCGAUGCAACAGCCACGAACUAGUCGGACUUUACAUUCAGCUCUGCACGUGUGUCCUGGUUAGCUUUUGCAUACCCAGGAUUGUAGAAUCAAUCACCUGUACAGAAUUCACUUUCGCAGGACUCAUCAACGCCACUUUAUCGUAUCAUCAUGAAAUAAAAAAUUUCAUACAAAUCCACCGCGGCCACCGUUAGAAUCUU